CAACGAGCGCAACCCUUAUCUUUAAUUGCCAGCAUUCAGUUGGGCACUUUAAAGAGACUGCCGGUGUUAAACCGGAGGAAGGUGGGAUGACGUCAAGUCCUCAUGGCCUUUAUGCUUAGGGCUACACACGUGCUACAAUGGGUGGUACAAAGAGAAGCCAACUCGCGAGAGCGCGCCAAUCUCAAAAAGCCAUCCUCAGUUCGGAUUGGAGUCUGCAACUCGGCUCCAUGAAGUUGGAAUCGCUAGUAAUGGCACAUCAGCUACGGUGCCGUGAAUACGUUCCCGGGUCUU
rnacentral:rRNA from 1 species